UCUUCAGAUACUCACGUGUUCAGGCCCACACUCCUUUCCUCAACACCAACGACAAAAUUCCCUCACUUUCUUAAUUCAGUUCCUCACUUCCUUCAACCCCUACUUCCAGCACUUCUAUAUAUUGCUGCUUGUUGGUUCCUACACCCUCCUCAGCGUCUCCCCCUCAGCUCCGUCCCCUCAGAGCCUGCGGUGGCCUCAACCCGAGCAGGGACAGCCCACGCUGGGCACUGCCCGCCACAGCAAAGCCCCUGAGCGGCUGCCGAAGAAAAUGUUCCACAGCGCGACUUGACCGCAAGGUACCUUAAGUGUUGCUUUUCAGGAAUGAAGAAGAUCCUAACAACCUUGGGGUGAAGACUCCACGUGGAUUCUCUGUGACAACGUGGGCCUCCAUCUCUUGAGCAGACUCCCUUGCCUCUUAACCUGUACUUCUGACAAUCCCUUUAAAUGUUUUUGUAUCCUUUUGUCAUCACGGCUCUAAGCUCCAUUCCAAAUCAUGUGAUGUCAGUUCUUUUGGAUAUAUAGUUAAUAACACCCUCCAACAUUUGCACAGAACACCAUAUAAAUGACCUGAAUCAUCCCCAUGAGGACUUUAUACAACGUCUAUUAAGUGUUGCAUAUAUUAUGAGAGCUAAAUUUGCAAUUGGUUUGGAUACUCAAGAUGAAAGUGAUUUAAGUAUUUAGUCCUAAGGUCACGAGUCUUGGGGAAGAAAAGUCUCUGGAUCCUUGAGAGUGCAAGAGUUCAGUUACUAAUUUUCCCUUGCAUCACUAAUAAGAGUCUUCUUUCCCAUAUUUUAGUGUGAGAAUGUGAUGAUACGGCUGCUAUUAAAAAACCAAAUUAAUUAUACUACUUCUGGGAGUAUUCCAAGGUUAGAAAUAUAACAUCUCACAUUUAACAUCUUUAAAUUAUUUUUCCCUUUGCAAUGCAAGUUCACAGUAAUUUAAAACCCCAUGAAUUUUGGCAUAGCUUUAAACAGGUUACUGCAUUGUUUAAAUGACAGUGGCUCCUACUCUAAUGUAAAUAUAAUCUCAUGAAGUCUUCUUGAUAUUCCACUCUCCACAGCAAUGGUUUUGAUUGUUUGAUAAUUUGUAGAACUCUCUUCUUUUGUUUUCAUGUCUUCAAGGGAAACACACGGCAAUUUAAGACUUGUGACAUUAAGCUUGCUUUUCUUGGUUACAUUUCACAAAUAUCUUGAAAGUAGUCCAUGGAUCAAGAGGGUCUGCUAAUCACAGGCUGU